UACGAAGGGGGCUAGCGUUGUUCGGAGUUACUGGGCGUAAAGGGCGCGUAGGCGGCCCUCCAAGUCGGGCGUGAAAGCCCACGGCUCAACCGUGGAAUUGCGCUCGAGACUGAAGGGCUCGAGGACGGGAGAGGAUGGUGGAAUUCCCAGUGUAGAGGUGAAAUUCGUAGAUAUUGGGAAGAACACCGGUGGCGAAGGCGGCAUCCUGGACCAACACUGACACUGAGGAGCGAAAGCCAGGGGAGCAAACGGG
rnacentral:rRNA from 1 species